AGAUUUCUGAUCCCUCAAAGGGAAUAUUUGGAGCCGGAGCUCAUUCUGACUAUGGUUUGAUUACCCUUUUAGCCACAGAUGAUGUCUUCGGCCUCCAAAUAUGCAAGGAUAAGAAUGCUCAACCUCAAGUUUGGGAAUACGUAGCGCCAUUAAAAGGGAGAGACAGUUAGAGAUUGAGAUUUUCUACUAUAUAGUUUAGAAAUUCAAUGAUCCUGGUAGGCUUACAUCUAUUUAAGUUGUGUGAUGUACAUUAUUCUUUUAUUUCUGCAUCUGUACGCCAAGGAAAACUGGGUCUCAGGCUAUUGAAAUGUUAAUUUGUUCAAGAACGAGUUAAUGGAAAUCAGAGCAUUCUCUGUCACAAGAAUUUAGAAGAAAAUUGAUACAGAACUCUAGGUGCUUACACCUAAACCACUUUAAUUCGACCAAGAACUAAAUACUCCUGUAGAGGCUACAACCUUAUAUGAAGAAAUAAACAGAAAAUUACUGAACAAUCCUUAUAAAAUAUAAAAAUACUGGGAGACCCUACACAAAUAUAAAAUUACUGGAGGGAGGAUAAUAAUUUUGAAGAAAUCUUCUCCAAGAUGGGCUUGGGUCACGAUUAGGACAUGGGCUGAAUCUUUAGUGAGGAAUAUAAACUACAUAAGAAAUCCUUGAUUCAGUGCUAUGCAGGAAUAUGAGCCUUCAAGGUUCGGUUUUAAUGUAUUUUCAACUGUUUUUAGGAAUGAACUUUAACUUAGGAAGCCUAUUACACCACUUGACAUAAGGGGAAGGAAAGAACACAAUUACCCAGCACUAACUUAAUACCACUACAAACUGUUCAUUAUUCAGCUGUACUCUCUGUUAGCAUGCUGUGAAGUUGCAUGGUGUAAGGAAUAGCAGCAGAUUGUAUUGCUGCAUGGAUGAUAUAACCAAGGAAGACUUUCUUAAUUCAGGAGAAGUGACAUUUUCUUGUUGGUUCAUCUUGAAAACAGAGCAUUUAUAGUGAAUCUUGGUGAUAUGCUGGAGCGCUGGAGCAACUGUAUUUUUAGGUUCUUAUCUAUUUAUUGUAUAUAAUUUGAAUUCAUUUCAUGCCAAAAUAAAACAUCAAAGCUGGAUUAUAGGAGAUGUUUCGCACAUUUGGCAUUUGAGAAGGAAAAUAAUUCUUCAUUAAUUAUGGAGCCUAGUAGAAGACUUGAACAUAUGCCAAUGGGAAUACAAGCCUAAUUCAUUUGUUAUUUUACAUAUGCACCUUCUCAUCACUCUGUGAAAAUGAACUCGUGGGUUUCUUUUCUCAAUGUAACCUUUGUUUAUGGUUUGUAAUGGUAUACAGGUCCACACUGCAUAGCUUUGUAAUGGUAUACAGGUGCGCUGUAUGGUUUUCUUUUCAUUUUAAGCUCAAAAGUUCUAUAAUUGCAAGCCUUUUAUUUUCUAUGAUAGCAAUUUCAAUGUUUCUGUACUGUUAUUAUAUUUUCAUGGUUGAUCCCUCAAGCAAACUCCUUCUGAUUUGAUUUCUAUUUUGGAAUUUAACCAUUUUUGUUUUGUGAACACUUACUGUGGAGUGCAGUGGUACAAAAACAGUAAGUUAAAAUUUUAGUUGUUUCGAAAUUUUAUCUAGUUGGGUCUCUGUUAUGCAUGUGAAAUAAUGGCUUAGGCUGUUUUGUUCUGGGCAUUAGGAUGGUAAACUGAUCAACUUGUGUUUUCCAAAAUUUCCUCUCUUUCAUAAAAAUAGAAGGAUUUCUCUCUUAUUUAAGUGUUGAAGAACAUUUGUGUCUUAAUUGCCAAGAAAAUUGAUAAUUUUCUUGGUUAGUAUGUUCUAUAUUCCUUUAUUGUGAAUAAUAUCUUAGAGAAAGUUCUGUAUUUUCUCACAUACUUCCAUGACAGAUAGCAUAUUUCGUGGAACCUAAUCAUGAUUAUCUUGUUGAAUGCUUGCCCACCUGCAAGUCAGAAAAAAAAUCCUCCCAAGUAAGAAGAAACCACAAUCUAUUGUUAACUCUACUGAAAUUAUUGAUGCUGCAACUACUCAUCGUUGCACAUUGCAUCUAGAUGAGUUAAUUUUAUAUAUAAGUGUAAUUUUCAUUACAAUUUUAUAUGAACUAUUCUAAUGAACUGUUGCAUGUGUUCCUUUCAUCAGGUUUCCUCCAAUCAAAUGUGGGACUUACCUCAGUCAACGCUGCAAGGAUACUCGUGCUGAUUUAAAUGGAUAACAAAAACCUCAAACUUGAGCACGCCAAAGAAUUAAGAUUUGCAAGGCAUAUCCUUCUGAAGAUUAGUGGUGAUAAUUGAUAAAGCUCCCCACAAAUGAGGAGCUGAUAAUCAUAAGGUUCAGUAUAUGGUUUCCAAGGGUCCUUCCUGCUUCACUGGCAUCUCAAUGAUAGCUCCGGUGCCAAUCAACUGGUUACUUGGUUCUACUCUCUUUGGCUAAUGAGAGUGAGACGCCUGAGCACUGCCAAGCUAUUCCCAAUUCUGUCGACAUUUGCAUGGUCCUAGCUUAUCAGUUCGUUUUGUACUUGCUCCUCCAGUCGUCUAUGCUUAAUGUUAAUAGUGUUUGAGGAAUUCUUUGGUUUUACGCUGGUUGUUUAGCCUGCAUGCGCUUCGGUUUGGCUAAGUUUCCUCUUCUACUUUCCCAUUGUGUUUGUCCUGUGGCAUCAAUACGCUUAGAGCAUCAGCGCUGGUGAUGGGUUUCCUUCUUUGUUUGACGGGUUGUUGGAUCGAGUUUGUUACCUGAAUGUUUUAGGUUUUCUUUUGAGGUUUAAGAGUUGGAUAUUUUAGUUUGAGUAUAGGCUUGUAGUUUAGUAGGCCUUUUAUGAGCUUCAGACAGUGUAAAUUUGUUGCUAUCAAUGAAUAUUGAUAUUUCUGAUUAAAAA
rnacentral:misc_RNA from 1 species